CGACGAGCUGGACGAGUUCAACCACCAUGAUUCCCCACAGAACAAGGUCGACCCUCUCGCUCUGUUUUUCUUUUCUUUCCAAGUGAUUGCUCUCAAAUUUUCUUGGAGUGAACCUGAUGCAGAAAACGUGGCCACUUCCUUUCCUCAUACUCGCAUGUUACAGCCAAUGACAGAGUAGCACAGGGCUAAUGUUGUUGUCCGGAAGCAACUCCAGGAACCAGCUUCGAAUAGCUCUUGUAUUCAUCUGGAAUUUGAUAUUUCAGGCACAGGUCUUGUUGCAGGUUCCAAGAAAUCAGAGGCUCCUUUUUCAAAUCGGAUACACAGAGAAAUACAUGGAGAAAUCAGGGGCUCCUUUUUCGGAUCGGUUCCAAGAAAAUGCAGAGUUAUGUAGUAGUUUUUGUUUAGAGGCUCCUUUUUCAGAUCUGUUCCAAGAAAAUGC